AUUCGACUUUCGAGUCGUCGAUGCUAUUAUUAUUAUUAUUAUUAUUGUAUUAAUAUUUUGUUAUUAACAAUUUACGCGGUGGCGACGUGACGUUUUAAAUAUGCGCGGGAAGUACACGGGAGGCGCCCGCGCACGGGAUUAUUUUCAACGGUCGACGGGCAGGAGAAAAUCCGAUACGUUCGGCGCUCGAAGCGCGGGCGGUCGGGGAGAAGUGUUCAAGUGCGUACGUCGACGGCGGCGCGGCAAAUCACCCGUGACGCUCCUACGUUUCGUCUUUUAAAAACGCGGCGACCAAACGACAAACGAAUAAUACCGCACGGCGCACUUGCGAUACGAUAGGGUACAAUAUCAUCACAACAACAACCACAACAAUAACAACAAUUAAUAUUAUUAUUGCCGUCUUAAAAAUUAAAAAACCCCCGUGAUACUCGACGACGAUAAUAAUAAUAAUUAUGAUAACAACAAAAUACAGGUAGUCGCCGCUGGUGCGUUUAGUAAUAACAUAAAAUAAUAAUAAAUAAUCAUCUGUGUCGGAUUUUUUUUCAUCUCCGUAGCCGCC